GGGGACUGAAGAGGUGGCUCAGAGGUUAA
rnacentral:piRNA from 1 species